AACUUGUUCUUUUACUUGUCCUCAAGUGAACUUUCUAGAACUUGCAAGGAGAGAGGUUUGAAGGUGGGAGCUCAUAGCCAAAAGAAACACAACUAGCAAAUAUAAUUAGCACACUCUCUUAUUACACUCUAGCUUCUCCAGGCCUAUCUCAAAUCCUUUUGUCCCUACACUCAUCAUCAAGCAUCCACACAUUCAAAUCAACCAACUCUCACAUUCAUUAAGCACAAAACAUCAGGUGAAUUCUUGCAAAUGGUCCGUUGGUCCAAGUCACUUGGUUGGGUAAGGGAAGGCUUUUAUUCAAGUGAUUCAAGAGGUUCAAAACAUAUGAUCUUUAAGGUGGUUUACUCUCAAAACAAGUAGCCUUGACAUUGCACAUAAUAUAUCUAAGAAAGGGACCAACUCAUGCAUACAAUGCUCAAUCUCCAUUGUUCUACCCUUUUCCCAAACAUACAAUUACACAAUCAUUCCCAAAUGUCAAACCCAACUCACAUCUCUCACCAGAAGAUCCUAAGAACUUUAACUCUUUCUUUUUGAAAUCUACAAGGGAUUUUUCUACAACGUCAAAACAUUUCUUAGCUCCAAACAACUUUGCUAGCCCCUUUUUCUUUCUUUUCUCUUUUUUUUUUUCGAUUUCUUUUUUUUUUUUUUUUUUUUUUUUUUUUUUUAGGUUGGGGGCCAAGACUUUUCAAAACUAGAGCUAGAGGUUCUCUACUUAUCCCAGAAAAUCAAUUCACUUAAGCACAAAGAGUCCAUCCUUUUUAUUUUUCAUUUCUCCCAAAUCAUGAUCACAACACUCACCCUCCCACCUAUAGCUAGACAAUAGAGUGUCCAAUCUAGCAAAAAUGAAGAUCAAACAUUGUCGUUCCCGAUACUCUCAACAUUAUGCGCAUGUAAGACUUUCCGAAGAAGGCCUCACUCAUCAAACAAUGAAAGCUUAAAAGGAAGGAAAGGUUUUGGGAGUGGUCUACCACUAGAGUUUGUCAAAAAGAUUGGCAUAAAAGAUGUGACAACUCAAGUGUGUAUAGCCAUGACUCAGUACACAAGGGACCCUAAGCAAGAAGCAUUAAGUUCAUUCAUUUCAAAUAAGGUUGUAGUUGGCUUCAAAGACUGAGUUUCAGCAAUCAACAAGUUUCAAGAAGAGUUUUCAAGGCUCGAAACAUACAAGUCUUUUCGAGAGGUGCGUGGCUACUCAAUGGUGCAACGUAGUGUUCUUUACAAGGCAUUUAAAAUCAUUGCUCCCAAUGCAAGUGAAUGCAACCUAUAUGCUCUAGACUCUCCUAAUGGUGCAAAUGAUGCAAACUAAAUGAAAAAUCUUUUUUUUUUAAUGCAAAUAGGCGUGCAAUGCAUGACUCAAAUGAAACACAAUCAAAGCAAACAUGAUCAAAUGCUUGGUACCUCCCCCAA
rnacentral:lncRNA from 1 species